UAAGGAAUAUUGGACAAUGCCCGCAAGGGUGAUCCAGCCAUGCCGCGUGCGGGAAGAAGGCCUUCGGGUUGUAAACCGCUUUUGUCAGGGGAGAAAUCUUCUGGGUUAAUACCUCGGGAGGAUGACGGUACCUGAAGAAUAAGCACCGGCUAACUACGUGCCAGCAGCCGCGGUAAUACGUAGGGUGCAAGCGUUAAUCGGAAUUACUGGGCGUAAAGCGUGCGCAGGCGGUUAUGCAAGACAGAUGUGAAAUCCCCGGGCUCAACCUGGGAACUGCAUUUGUGACUGCAUAGCUAGAGUGCGGCAGAGGGGGAUGGAAUUCCGCGUGUAGCAGUGAAAUGCGUAGAUAUGCGGAGGAACACCGAUGGCGAAGGCAAUCCCCUGGGCCUGCACUGACGCUCAUGCACGAAAGCGUGGGGAGCAAACAGGAUUAGAUACCCUGGUAGUCCACGCCCUAAACGAUGUCAACUGGUUGUUGGGAAGGUUCCUUCUCAGUAACGUAGCUAACGCGUGAAGUUGACCGCCUGGGGAGUACGGCUGCAAGGUUG
rnacentral:rRNA from 1 species